UACAGAGGGGGCAAGCGUUGUCCGGAAUCAUUGGGCGUAAAGAGCGUGUAGGCGGCUUGGUAAGUCCGCUGUGAAAGUCCAGGGCUCAACCCUGGAAAGCCGGUGGAAACUGUCAAGCUUGAGUCCGGAAGAGGCGAGUGGAAUUCCUGGUGUAGCGGUGAAAUGCGCAGAUAUCAGGAGGAACACCAAUGGCGAAGGCAGCUCGCUGGGACGGUACUGACGCUGAGACGCGAAAGCGUGGGGAGCAAACAGG
rnacentral:rRNA from 1 species